CUACAUGAAGCUGGAAUCGCUAGUAAUCGCGAAUCAGAAUGUCGCGGUGAAUACGUUCCCGGGUCUUGUACACACCGCCCGUCACACCAUGGGAGUCGGAAAUGCCCGAAGUCAGUGACCCAACCGUAAGGAGGGAGCUGCCGAAGGUGGAGCCGGUAACUGGGGUGAAGUCGUAACAAGGUAAC
rnacentral:rRNA from 1 species